rnacentral:rRNA from 1 species
GACGAACGCUGGCGGCGUGCUUAACACAUGCAAGUCGAACGCUGAAGCUCAGCUUUUGUUGGGUGGAUGAGUGGCGAACGGGUGAGUAACACGUGAGUAACCUGCCCCCUUCUUUGGGAUAACGCCCGGAAACGGGUGCUAAUACUGGAUAUUCACUGGUCUUCGCGUGGGGGUUGGUGGAAAGGGUUUUUCUGGUGGGGGAUGGGCUCGCGGCCUAUCAGCUGGUUGGUGGGGUGAUGGCCUACCAAGGCUUUGACGGGUAGCCGGCCUGAGAGGGUGACCGGUCACAUUGGGACUGAGAUACGGCCCAGACUCCUACGGGAGGCAGCAGUGGGGAAUAUUGCACAAUGGGCGCAAGCCUGAUGCAGCGACGCCGCGUGAGGGAUGGAGGCCUUCGGGUUGUGAACCUCUUUCGCUCAUGGUCAAGCCGCAACAAUGGUUGUGGUGAGGGUAGUGGGUAAAGAAGCGCCGGCUAACUACGUG